rnacentral:rRNA from 1 species
AUGCCCCCAUGGGAGCGUUUUCGCGAGUUCUGCCUCCUUCGCUUCGGACUGCCGAUACGUGGGAGCCGGCGCCGCCUUCCCUUCUCCUCUACGGUGCAGAACUACACCGACCGCUUUCAGGCCCUGGCGUGCCACGCGUCCGGCAUAACGGCUCACCAACGGGCCGAACUCUUCGUCGGCGGUCUGCCAGAUCAUAUCCGCGUGGACGUCGACCUGCAGGGACCCCAGGACCUCCAGACGGCCAUGUACUACGUCCGCGCGUUCGAGCGGCGCGCGGUGGCCAUCCAGCAGGGAUCACCGUCCCGGGCCGCUGGGCCUCCACCCUAG